rnacentral:rRNA from 1 species
AUUGAACGCUAGCGGGAUGCCUUACACAUGCAAGUCGAACGGAGUGGCGAACGGGUGAGUAACGUAUCGGAACGUGCCCAGUAGAGGGGGAUAACUACGCGAAAGCGUAGUUAAUAACGCAUAUAAUUGGAGCGGCCGACAACGGAUUAGCUAGUUGGGAGGGGAACGGCUCACCAAGGCGACUAUCCGUAGCUGGGUUGAGAGGACGACCAGCCACACUGGGACUGAGACACGGCCCAGACUCCUACGGGAGGCAGCAGUGGGGAAUAUUGGACAAUGGGGGAAACCCUGAUCCAGCCAUCCCGCGUGUGCGAUGAAGGCCUUCGGGUUGUAAAGCACUUUUGGCAGGAAAGCGGUACCUGCAGAAUAAGCACCGGCUAACUACGUGCCAGCAGCCGCGGUAAUUC